CACUUUCUUCUUUAUGCACACCUUUCUUGCCGAAGGAGAGGUAAGUUAAGAAUACAUUUUUCUACAAAUCCAUCACUUCUCACUCCACAAAAGCUUCAUUUUUUUUUUUACAAAGAAAAUCCAAUCCCUUUCACAAAACAAUUUACAGAACAACCCUUGGACCAGCCUGGUGGAACAAAGGAUGCAACUGUCAACGCUGCUUACAUCGCCAGCGUCAUUCUGCUGAGCAAAUAUGAUGAUGACGUUGUGCAGCAAAUGCCGAUCUGGAGGAAGUGAGAAGCCUUGCAUCAUCUAGAGAACAUCCUAAAGGAGACGCCAAGGUGCGACCAGGAGAUCAUCAACAGUGAAAAUGCAGUGAAGGCCGUCACCCUUUUGUGAGGUGUUGCUCGGUUGCUUGCAAGGCGAUUUCUGAUAUUCUAAAGAGCCUUCUGGCGUGGCAGACAGAUGAAGCUCACCUGAACAGAAUAAUCAAGGCCUUGCGGAACUGGCUGACCUCGCCUGACCUCACCUUGCGUGAGAGAGCAACCCGGUCCCUGAACCAGCUGCUUCAAAUCUAUAAAAGGCAGAUCCCAUCCGAGGUGAGUUUGUUGAGGAAGCAGCCUUUCUUACCCCUGGAUGAGAUGGGCUUGCUGUUGGGUUCCAGAAGGUUAGCCUUGCAUUUACCCUGGGCCUGUCUUAUUCCGCAGAACCCGACCAUCAGAAACAAGGGACACUGGAUCGGCCUGUUGGUCCCUUUCUGUGUCCAUACAGAACCUGCCUUCCAGUACUGGGACCUCUUGGCUGCUAAACAUGAAAUUCCCAGCUCCAGCAACAGGUAGGUUUCCCUCAGUGACUUAUGGCCAUUUUUGCACCCUUACGUGAUUUCCUAAACAGACGGAUAUUACGAAGAACGUGUACUUCAGAGAAUAUGAGCUCGGAUGACUCUUUGGUACAACCCCCUCCGGAUGGAGGUUGGGGCUGGGUUGUAGUGGCGGCGGCUGCUAUCCAUUGCCUGCUUGUUGGUGGUUUACAUAGCGCCUUUGGCGUCUACAUGCUGCCCCUUCUUGGUUCUUUUGAAUCAAGCAACUGGCAGAUAGGUAGGUCAUUGUUACAUUAAGGUUUCCAGCAUAGCUUUGAUAUAUUGUACUGCAGUUUUGUUUUACUGCAGGGACUGUCCUCCAGUAUCAGCUGCAGCACUAUCUAAUCGAUAAGUUUGGCUGGAGAGGUAGCCUGCCUGCAUAUAGUGCUAUUCUACUCAUAUGCAUUAUUGCUGGCUUUGCCUACAGGCCCCUUCAGAACCGUAUGCCUAUAGCGCUAUGCUAGGUAUAUGCGUUCUGGCUGCCUUUGCCUACAGGCCCCUUCAAAAAGGUAUGUAUCUGCUUUGGGCAUUUUAAAUUAAAUAUCUCCUUUUUCCUGUGUGUGUGUGGGGGGGGAGAGAGAGCAACCCGGUCCCUGAACCAGCUGCUUCAAAUCUAUAAAAGGCAGAUCCCAUCCGAGGUGAGUUUGUUGAGGAAGCAGCCUUUCUUACCCCUGGAUGAGAUGGGCUUGCUGUUGGGUUCCAGAAGGUUAGCCUUGCAUUUACCCUGGGCCUGUCUUAUUCCGCAGAACCCGACCAUCAGAAACAAGGGACACUGGAUCGGCCUGUUGGUCCCUUUCUGUGUCCAUACAGAACCUGCCUUCCAGUACUGGGACCUCUUGGCUGCUAAACAUGAAAUUCCCAGCUCCAGCAACAGGUAGGUUUCCCUCAGUGACUUAUGGCCAUUUUUGCACCCUUACGUGAUUUCCUAAACAGACGGAUAUUACGAAGAACGUGUACUUCAGAGAAUAUGAGCUCGGAGGACUCUUUGGUACAACCCCCUCCGGAUGGAGGUUGGGGCUGGGUUGUAGUGGCGGCGGCUGCUAUCCAUUGCCUGCUUGUUGGUGGUUUACAUAGCGCCUUUGGUGUCUACAUGCUGCCCCUUCUUGGUUCUUUUGAAUCAAGCAACUGGCAGAUAGGUAGGUCAUUGUUACAUUAAGGUUUCCAGCAUAGCUUUGAUAUAUUGUACUGCAGUUUUGUUUUACUGCAGGGACUGUCCUCCAGUAUCAGCUGCAGCACUAUCUAAUCGAGAAGUUUGGCUGGAGAGGUAGCCUGCCUGCAUAUAGUGCUAUUCUACUCAUAUGCAUUAUUGCUGGCUUUGCCUACAGGCCCCUUCAGAACCGUAUGCCUAUAGCGCUAUGCUAGGUAUAUGCGUUCUGGCUGCCUUUGCCUACAGGCCCCUUCAAAAAGGUAUGUAUCUGCUUUGGGCAUUUUAAAUUAAAUAUCUCCUUUUUCCUGUGUGUGUGUGUGGGGGGGGAGAGAGAGCAACCCGGUCCCUGAACCAGCUGCUUCAAAUCUAUAAAAGGCAGAUCCCAUCCGAGGUGAGUUUGUUGAGGAAGCAGCCUUUCUUACCCCUGGAUGAGAUGGGCUUGCUGUUGGGUUCCAGAAGGUUAGCCUUGCAUUUACCCUGGGCCUGUCUUAUUCCGCAGAACCCGACCAUCAGAAACAAGGGACACUGGAUCGGCCUGUUGGUCCCUUUCUGUGUCCAUACAGAACCUGCCUUCCAGUACUGGGACCUCUUGGCUGCUAAACAUGAAAUUCCCAGCUCCAGCAACAGGUAGGUUUCCCUCAGUGACUUAUGGCCAUUUUUGCACCCUUACGUGAUUUCCUAAACAGACGGAUAUUACGAAGAACGUGUACUUCAGAGAAUAUGAGCUCGGAUGACUCUUUGGUACAACCCCCUCCGGAUGGAGGUUGGGGCUGGGUUGUAGUGGCGGCGGCUGCUAUCCAUUGCCUGCUUGUUGGUGGUUUACAUAGCGCCUUUGGUGUCUACAUGCUGCCCCUUCUUGGUUCUUUUGAAUCAAGCAACUGGCAGAUAGGUAGGUCAUUGUUACAUUAAGGUUUCCAGCAUAGCUUUGAUAUAUUGUACUGCAGUUUUGUUUUACUGCAGGGACUGUCCUCCAGUAUCAGCUGCAGCACUAUCUAAUCGAGAAGUUUGGCUGGAGAGGUAGCCUGCGUGCAUAUAGUGCUAUUCUAGUCAUAUGCAUUAUUGCUGGCUUUGCCUACAGGCCCCUUCAGAACCGUAUGCCUAUAGCGCUAUGCUAGGUAUAUGCGUUCUGGCUGCCUUUGCCUACAGGCCCCUUCAAAAAGGUAUGUAUCUGCUUUGGGCAUUUUAAAUUAAAUAUCUCCUUUUUCCUGUGUGUGUGGGGGGGGGGGGAGGAGAGAGCAACCCGGUCCCUGAACCACCUGCUUCAAAUCUAUAAAAGGCAGAUCCCAUCCGAGGUGAGUUUGUUGAGGAAGCAGCCUUUCUUACCCCUGGAUGAGAUGGGCUUGCUGUUGGGUUCCAGAAGGUUAGCCUUGCAUUUAUCCUGGGCCUGUCUUAUUCCGCAGAACCUGACCAUCAGAAACAAGGGACACUGGAUCGGCCUGUUGGUCCCUUUCUGUGUCCAUACAGAACCUGCCUUCCAGUACUGGGAUCUCUUGGCUGCUAAACAUGAAAUUCCCAGCUCCAGCAACAGGUAGGUUUCCCUCAGUGACUUAUGGCCAUUUUUGCACCCUUACGUGAUUUCCUAAACAGACGGAUAUUACGAAGAACGUGUACUUCAGAGAAUAUGAGCUCGGAUGACUCUUUGGUACAACCCCCUCCGGAUGGAGGUUGGGGCUGGGUUGUAGUGGCGGCGGCUGCUAUCCAUUGCCUGCUUGUUGGUGGUUUACAUAGCGCCUUUGGCGUCUACAUGCUGCCCCUUCUUGGUUCUUUUGAAUCAAGCAACUGGCAGAUAGGUAGGUCAUUGUUACAUUAAGGUUUCCAGCAUAGCUUUGAUAUAUUGUACUGCAGUUUUGUUUUACUGCAGGGACUGUCCUCCAGUAUCAGCUGCAGCACUAUCUAAUCGAGAAGUUUGGCUGGAGAGGUAGCCUGCGUGCAUAUAGUGCUAUUCUAGUCAUAUGCAUUAUUGCUGGCUUUGCCUACAGGCCCCUUCAGAACCGUAUGCCUAUAGCGCUAUGCUAGGUAUAUCGUUCUGGCUGCCUUUGCCUACAGGCCCCUUCAAAAAGGUAUGUAUCUGCUUUGGGCAUUUUAAAUUAAAUAUCUCCUUUUUCCUGUGUGUGUGUGUGGGGGGGGGGGGGAGAGCAACCCGGUCCCUGAACCAGCUGCUUCAAAUCUAUAAAAGGCAGAUCCCAUCCGAGGUGAGUUUGUUGAGGAAGCAGCCUUUCUUACCCCUGGAUGAGAUGGGCUUGCUGUUGGGUUCCAGAAGGUAUUUCUUGCUUACUUAUUUUUUUAAUUAAAAUAUUACAUUGGUGCUUCUUUUGCCCCAGGAUGAAUAGCUGCAGUGGGUGAAAUACCAAAACAACUGGAGCCCAAUUUGGACCCCAUCGGCAUUGACAAUCUCACCAUCAGUCAGUUGCCAAAGGCCGCCUUCCUUGGAAGAGCUGACAUCCAGUCUGAACAUCUAGCUGACUGUGUGAAGAACCACAAUCCCCCUCUCCCCCAUGAGGCAGGACCUUGACAUGGUUGUGGGGCUUGUGUGCUCUGAGGAAGAUUAGGGCUACACCUCAGGUUCAACCAUACUGAACAGGACUCAUGAGAGGAAUCGGACAAAGAGUGUCUCUCCCAUAAACAAUAGAGGAAAGCACAUAUAACAGAAACCCAGAUUGGCUCUCUAGUUGCCCAGGUCAAGAAGGACCAUGCCAGGGCUUCAAAUUCUUGGACAUCUGGUGGAAAAUGACCUGCAAGACUCAGGGAUGAUGGCUGAGCAUCCAGGACUGGCAGC